rnacentral:lncRNA from 1 species
ACAGCGAUCAUGUUAUCAUCGUAGGGCUACCGCAUGAUCCAACGGUGAAGCAACCGUUGUUUGAAUGGAUGUGUUGGGUACGCUGGCAGGUGAGGUGAGAAUUGAUGUCUAAUAAUUCCAGAUCGCGGUGGUUAGUAGUGGCGGUCGGGCUAGGUCGGGGCGAGGAGGCUCGCCACAUCUGGAGAAGAUGGCGGCAGUUGGGGAGAGGAAGAAGGCUGCCACCACGGGUGCUAAGGUUCGUUGGAGCUCCGGUGCAAUAGGCCACACCCGCGAUGGGGAUGAGAGGGAGAAGAUGACUGUAGAGGGGAAGAAAAUCAGGUGUGCUCACACUCGUUGUUUCAUAGAUAGAACAUAGUUAAGAUAGAGGUUGUGAAAUCUGAUAUCUUGUUUAGUUGGUGAAAAAUUUUGUUUUUUGUUUGCUACUGUAGUACUUUCAUUUGUAUUUGAUAAUUAUUGUCCAAUCAUGGAUUAACUAGUCUUAAAAGAUUCGUCUUACAAAUUACAGGUAAACUAUGCAAUUAGUUAUUUUUUAUCUACACUGCCACACGUUCGGGCAUUAGCACCGGUCGGGAAGGGCCUGUUGCCCCGGUUCCCUAGCCGGUGCUGCCCUUCCGGGACUAAAGGCCCACCUUUAGUCCCGGUUCGGGCAACCGGGGCUAAAGCCCCCCCCCCCCUUUAACACCGGUUGGUAACACCAACCGGUGUUAAAGGGGCAGCCACGUUGCAGGACCCUUUAAAACCGGUUGGUAUUACCAACCGGUUUUAAAGGGUUUCUUUUUCUUUUUUUUUGUUCUCUUCUUCGGUUCUGUUUAUUGUUUAUAUAUAAUAUAUAAUAAUAGGUUUUUCAAUACAUAUUUUGCUGAUACAAUAAUAUAUUUAUAUUACACGCAUAUUAAGCAUAUAUAAAUGAAAAUUAUAGGCUUAGCUUAAUAAUUAAGCUUUGCCUAUAAGCAAAUGUCUGGAAAUAACUCACAUUACGAUCUGGACACUUGUAGAAUAUACGACCCUUGUUUACUCCCUCUUUCGACACUUUGUACUCCAUCAAAAUCUUCUGCCCACACUUGCCACAAGUAAUGAGAGGGAGUUCCGGACGGUAUCGCUUUUGAACCCGUUGAGAGACUGAAGACCCGGUCACGGUUGCCAUCUACUAUCCAUACUCAAUUUUUAAACAAUUAUAAAUUCCACAUUUACUAGUAAACAUGUAUGAUACAAUGGACAUUAUAUGUAGUAAUAAAAAUAAAUCAAGUGAUAUUAACAAACCAAUUAAUUUGAACUAUCCUACUUUCUAUGAUCAUAAAAAUAUACUAUAAUUCAUUCUUGCAAAAUACAUUAAAACUAGGUCAACCAUGAAAUAUGAUAUAUAUAUAUAUAUGG